CUACGGGCCGCUGCAGUGGGGAAUCUUAGACAAUGGGCGCAAGCCUGAUCUAGCCAUGCCGCGUGAGUGAUGAAGGCCUUAGGGUCGUAAAGCUCUUUCGCUGGGGAAGAUAAUGACGGUACCCAGUAAAGAAACCCCGGCUAACUCCGUGCCAGCAGCCGCGGUAAUACGGAGGGGGUUAGCGUUGUUCGGAAUUACUGAGCGUAAAGCGCGCGUAGGCGGACUAUUAAGUCGGGGGUGAAAUCCCGGGGCUCAACCCCGGAACGGCCUUCGAUACUGGCAGUCUGGAGUUCGAGAGGGUGAGUGGAAUUCCGAGUGUAGAGGUGAAAUUCGUAGAUAUUCGGAGGAACACCAGUGGCGAAGGCGGCUCACUGGCUCGAUACUGACGCUGAGGUGCGAAAGUGUGGGGAGCAAACAGGAUUAGAUACCCUAGUAGUC
rnacentral:rRNA from 1 species